UGGGGAAUAUUGCACAAUGGGCGCAAGCCUGAUGCAGCCAUGCCGCGUGUGUGAAGAAGGCCUUCGGGUUGUAAAGCACUUUCAGCGGGGAGGAAGGCGUUAAGGUUAAUAACCUUGGCGAUUGACGUUACCCGCAGAAGAAGCACCGGCUAACUCCGUGCCAGCAGCCGCGGUAAUACGGAGGGUGCAAGCGUUAAUCGGAAUUACUGGGCGUAAAGCGCACGCAGGCGGUCUGUCAAGUCGGAUGUGAAAUCCCCGGGCUCAACCUGGGAACUGCAUUCGAAACUGGCAGGCUAGAGUCUUGUAGAGGGGGGUAGUAUUCCAGGUGUAGCGGUGAAAUGCGUAGAGAUCUGGAGGAAUACCGGUGGCGAAGGCGGCCCCCUGGACAAAGACUGACGCUCAGGUGCGAAAGCGUGGGGAGCAAACAGG
rnacentral:rRNA from 1 species